UUGUAUCUUUGGAUCUACAGUAAGUCUCUCGUAGACAGCAUAUAGUUGAAUCAUGUUAUUUAUCCUUUCUUUCAUGACAUGAUCUGAUUUGGGGGGAACCUGGUUUACCUUUCUAAAGAGUUGGAACUUUACCCUGUAAUGGAUAUGAGGAGCCCAUAGCUGUAUUUAGACAGGGGUUUGGCAUAAUCAGUAUCCUUGCUUAGAAAAAUGGUACUGGAAGGCAUGUACCGAUGACUACAUGGUGAAGGGCACACUCUUCCAGUACCCUCUCCUGUGCUUUCUUCUCCUCACUGACAGCUCUUGCUGCCUCUUUCCAGCUCAGAGGGCUGAGUAGCACUGAAGGCCCCCUAAGGGGACAUGAGGAUAUCUGCCAUUGCCUGGCUCAGCUGCGUCAAGUUGCUGACCCUGAAACGCAGCCUCACAACACAGGGUGUUUAUUUGCCUCCCGUGCUCUUCUAUUAAAUAGUUGUGAGUUUUGUAUUAAGAUAGUAUUAAGAGAUGGAAUCAUUUUGAAUGACUUCGAAAUUAUUCCUUGUACUUUUUUAUGUGUUUUAUAAAAGUCUGACAUUUGCCAACAUGGUUUAUAGUGCCUAACACCUCAUAGGUAAAUAAGCACACGGCAUAUUUGGAGAGAGAAAAAGUAUAAAUGUUAAAUGAAGAAAAACAGUGGUCAACUCUCAAAAGAGAAGAUGAACACAUCAGUUUUGUUUUAAUUCCCUGAAUGACCCUGGUGUAUGGUAUUUAGCCUUUUGCCCUGAUGUUGGUGGGGUUUGGCAGAAGUGGACGGGUUGUAAUCAGGUAAAAGAAUAGCACAAAUGUCCAUAAAGAUUCACUCUUUGAUUUACCAGAGAUAAAGUAGAAAGUGGCACAGUGGAGGAUGUAGCAGGCUGGGAGUUGAGAGACCAAAAUCCUCUUUCUAGCUCUGCAGGGAGUUAUUUUGUAGCCAUAAGCAAAUCACUCCGAACUCUGAUGUACAAAUUUCCUUUCUGUUAGAUGAAAGAAUAAUAGGUCCUUCUUAAGGUUUCCUGAAAUUUCCAGCUAAUCAAAUUUUUGAAAGAGCUUGGCAUGAGUCAAAUCAGGAAGAGGAAGAUUUAGAAAAACGAUUUUAGCUCUGACUUAUGUUCUCAUGUCUGGGUUCCAAGGGAAUGGCAAAUGGUUGGUCUUUUCCUGCACCUGUGACAGACAUCACGAAUCAAUAAUGGCAUUUCCCCCCAGUUAACUUGGCUGCAAUCUGGAUUCUUUUCAAUAACGCAUUCCUGGCAGCCUUAACCAAUCCAUCCUAGUGGGUUUUCAAGAUAAAAAAUGAUUUGUCAACCCUGUUCUUAGUGGAUGGAACAGUUCUCAUUAGGAGAUGACUCAAACAUCCUUUUUGGGGCUGACUCAUAGAAAAUAAAGAAACCCCUGGCACACAGUGGGUGCUUUAACAUCUGAGGCUUUUCAAUUGAGGGUCAGUAGGAUCCUCACGCAGUUUGAGGUCUGUCACUGCCUUUUAAGGUUAUGUCUCCUUCUUAAGAUCGAAGAUCAGUAAUGGUGGCCAAGGGUUAGGACAAGUGCAGCUAACUAUGACGUAACAAUGCCUGUCUUUUAGACAAUUCAAUUCUGCCUUCACCUAGCUAGGAAAAAUGUUUCUAUGCAUCGCUAUUCAAUGGCAGACAGACAAGGAUUCUAAGAAAGAGAGUCUAGUGCUACCUUCUAGGACAUUUUGAGGGCUACAGAUGCUCUGAAAGCUGUCCAUUGACAGCUGUAAUUAGAGCAGGAGCCAGCAGGGGUAUCUGGGAGCUAUCUGGAAUGUUACUGAGAUUUUCUCUGCCAAAUGUCAGACUCCAGAGGAAGAGAAGGGAAGACAUUUACUUCUCCCAGCUGAACUGAGAGCAGCAGGCCAGGCUGCCUUCCCUGCUCUCCCUCUGGCUCUGACCACACCUCAUUCUCUGCAGAUUCUCUUCCAAGGCUCCAGUGCUCUCAGCACAGUGUCUGACUUCUCACUCCCUUUGUGUCCCUCCUGCCUGAGCUUGGAGGCUGAGUUCCCCAUCUGUAAAAUGGGGAUACAAAUAAAAUGAUAGUCCCCUUCCUCGCAGUGUUGCUCUCAGGAGUAAAAGAGAAAAUGAUGUACGAAAAAAUUCCUGCAUCAAUGUUUUCACCGUGUUUGUCUCACUGUGAAUGAAGCCUGUGAGGGGAUGUUUGGCUGGCAACCUUAACUCUUACUUCCAGCAGGCUCAGCUUUGGAGUCUAUAAAUGGAUGCCAGACAUGGGUGAGAAGAGGCGGCAGGGUUUUCCUGGUACCACUGUGGUCAUCCCUCACAUCUGCAUCUGCAAAAGCCUUCCUUGCCUGCUGCCUGACAGAGGUUAGGUAUCCAGUGGGCCUGGACAGCUCGCACUGGUUCCUGUCCUGAGGCCCCUGCAUCUGCCGCUUUAGAGCCACGUGCAGCUACAAAGCAGGCUUCCUUGUGUCAGUUCCCUUUUGUCCUCCCCAACCUGGGCUUGGAUGGAAGAUGGCCGAAGGUGAGGAAAGAAUACUGAAGGUGGAAGCAUGGAGGUGAUGGAGACUGAUUUAAGGGCAUAUUCGUGACUGUUGACCUUGACUGGAAUUGUUUGCAAAGACAGCCUGGAUGCUGCAGACAGAAGGCUGCUAUUGGCUCUCCCCAAGACUCCUGGCCGCAAACCCUUGCUUACUCCUGCAGGGUGUAGAAGGGAGGGAGAAGUGGUGGGCAAGGCGCAGAGGAAGGAGGAACAAGAGAGGAGAGGAGCAGUGGAGGAAAGGAUGCAGGAGAAGGAGAGGAAAAGAACUCAGGAACGCCAGGGCAGUAAGAGAAGAGCAGAGGAAAGGAAACAGUCAAGACUAUAGAGAAAGACCGGGCACUGUGGCUCACACCUGUAAUCCCAGCACUUUCCAAGGCCGAGUCAGGUGGAUCACCUGUGGUCAGGAGUUCGAGACCAGCCUGACCAAAAUGGUGAAAUCUCGUUUUAAAAAUCCCAAAAAUUAACCAGGCAUAGUGCUGCAUGCCUGUAAUCCCAGCUCUUUGGGAGACUGAGGCAGAAGAAUCGCUUGAACCCGGAAGGCAGAGGUUGCAGUGAGCGGAGAUUGCGUCACUGCACUCCAGCCUGGGUGACAGAGCGAGAUUCCGUCUUGAAAAUAAAAAAACAACAAACAAACAAACACAAGAAACACCAGACUAUAGGGAAGGAAACUGAAGUGACAAAGGACAGACGAAAAGGAAGAACAGGAAUAAUUGGUGAGAAUGUAGAGAGAGGAAACCAAAGCAGGAAGAGAAGCAGAAAACCAGGAAGAAAGCAGCUGGGGGCGGCUCUCACGUCAAGACCCCCAGGAGAAUCUCUAGCCCCACGUUCAGCGCCACAUCCUUGUCCAUCAGUGGGACUGAUAACGUGGUCUCCGUCUGAAAUUAAGUUCAUAUGUUAAGGGUAAAUUGAAAUAUGCAAGAAACUAAGGGGCGUUUCCUCUUCUCAGGUUAAGGAGGGUUUCCGUAUUUAUUUUAGCUGUAUAAAUUAAUGAUUGUUCUCCUGUCUUAGAAAGUGGGUUCCUGCGGUUGCUGGUGAGGCGUGAGAAGCGCGGGGCUACGCCGGGCCUCUGCUGCCCCCUCCUGGCCAAAGAUGGGCUCCGCAGGCUCCCUGCGGAUGGGAAUCGGCUGAAACUGCAUUUUGGUGGUUGGCGAAGGCGAAAUUAUCCCUUCUCCUGGCUCUAAAAGCAGACAACGAGAGCUGAAAGAGAGUUAGAUAUUCAGCCCUGACCUUUCCCCUAAGCCUUAAAUUUAGAUUUCAAUCAGCCGGAUGGAGAUUUCCACUUGGACCUCAAGUGCAGCAGGUCCGCAAGUAGCUUCUUAUCUUCGCGGUCCUGCUGGCCGCACUGCACAGCUUCUUGAUGUCUGCGAACAGCACAUUAUCCACUUUCUUCCCACCCCAAGACCCCUCCCAGUGCUCCUCUUGCUCGAUCUUUAUAUCCCAUUAGUCACAACUCCUGCCAGGACUACACAGGAGGAUGCUCUCUCAUGGGACCCUUGUCAUCUCUCCAGCGCACCCUCCUCCUCUCUGGUCAGCUCAUGAUAACGUCGUCUUGACUGCUGUCCUGGCAGAGACCUGUCUUUGGAUAGAGAUUACAGAUAGAGAUAGAGACAGAGAUAUGGAGAUUUAUAUAUAUUAUAUAUAUUAAUUAUAUAUAUUAUAUAUACAUACACACACAUACACACACAUAUCCAUCUUUCUAGAUAUAUAUCCAUCUAUCUAUAUAUAUAUCCAUCCAUAUAUUAUAUAUAUAUAUAGAGAGAGAGAUACAUAUAUAUGUAUGUGUGUGGAUAGAUAGGUAGAUAGGCAGAUAGAUCUUCUAGGCUGGGCACAGAAGCUCAUGUCUCUGAUCUCCAUACUUUGAGAGGUUAAAGAAGGAGGAUCUUUUGAGUCUAGGCGUUCAAGACCAGCCUGGGCAACAUAACGAGACCCCAUCUCUAUAAAAACAAAAUUAACCAUGAGUGGUGGUGCACACCUGUAGUUCCAGCUACUUGGGACCUGUAGUCCCAGCUACUACAGAUGGGAGGAUCACUUGAGCCCAGGAGUUGGAGGUUACAAUGAGCUAUGAUCACGCCACUGCCUUCCCACCUGGGUGACAGAAUGAGACCAUGUAUCUUUAAAAAAAAUCUUCUGCAGAAUAAAGCUCAAAGUCUUCAUUUGAUCUACAAUAUCUUUCAUGUCGUGCUCCCAGCCUGUCUCUCCAAGUUCACCUUAUAUCCCUUGCCUUUAAUUUCAACAAGGCCAUUGCUAAUCGCUGAAAUUGUUUGUAUUCAUUCUCUAAACAUACAUUGGUUCUUAUUAAGUGCCAGGUUUGAGCUAUUCACUGAGAUACAGAGAGGAACAAGACAUAGUCUCUGCCCUCCAUGAGCAGAGUCUAAUAGAGCAAAUGCACACAUGCAGCCCAGACCUCCCUUGGAUUAUCCUGCUGUAUAAAAGUGAGAUGCAUUUGGUGCAGAUUCCCAUUCCACAUGGUAUUAGUUUUCUAUUGCUGCAUAACAAAUUGCCUCUAACUUAGUGGCUUACAACAUACAAUUUUUUAAUCUCAGUUUUCAUGAAGAGUAUGAACAUGGCUUAACUGGGUCCUCUGCUGAGCAUCUCACGAAGCAGCAGUCAUGGAGUUGGCUGGGACUUGUUCUUCUCUGGAUCUUGUGGGAGGACUCCCCAAUAUCCCAUGAUUGUUGACCCUUGCAGUUCCAGAACAGGUCCCACUCUCAUGCUGGUAAUCAGCCAGUGGCUGCAGUCAAGUCCAAGAAUCCCACAGUUCCUUGCCACAUAGCUCUCACAGGCCUUUCAAAACAGCAGCUCACAUCAAGACCAGCAGGAGAAUCUCUAGCUCCAGAAUGCAAUGGCAGAGUCUUAUAUAAUGUAACAAUCACAGGCAUGACUAUCCAGUUGCCUUUGCCAUAUUAAAAAAAAAAAUACACAGAGUAGUGACAUCUUAUCUCUUUGGGCAUAUUCUAUUGUUAGAAGCAAGUCACAGGUUCUGCUUGCACUCAGAAAAGACAAUUAUGCAACUGCCUGACUCAUUGGAGAUUACCUUAGGGCAUGCCCACCAUACACACAACUUGAAUCUUUCAUAUAUACAUAUCCGAGGUACAGGGAGCUGUGUAAAGUCUCAGAGUCCAGCUAAGGACUCCUUUUCCUGCCAAAUUAGUUCAGCUGUGGGACACCAACCUGUCUCCUUUUCCCAUGCACUGAUCCAGCCAUGGGUUCCAGCGCCAGGAUCGAUGCCAACUAAA
rnacentral:lncRNA from 1 species